UACGUAGGUGGCAAGCGUUGUCCGGAUUUAUUGGGCGUAAAGAGCUCGUAGGCGGCUUGUCACGUCGGAUGUGAAAGCCCGGGGCUUAACUCCGGGUCUGCAUUCGAUACGGGCUGGCUAGAGUGUGGUAGGGGAGAUCGGAAUUCCUGGUGUAGCGGUGAAAUGCGCAGAUAUCAGGAGGAACACCGGUGGCGAAGGCGGAUCUCUGGGCCAUUACUGACGCUGAGGAGCGAAAGCGUGGGGAGCGAACAGG
rnacentral:rRNA from 1 species